CACACACACUAAACCACAUUAGAAACACACACACACUUCACGUAACACCAUUGUUGAGAAGCUUAAGCUUUUGACCUCCGAUUUGAGCACCGAGACGAGCGCCGAUCAUCUUUUCGAUCACGUAUCUAAGUAGGUCCUUUUGGGAAGUAACGACUUGAGGGAGAGAGUGACGUUACUCAUUGAUACAGAGACACAACGAGGUUGAGCUGAUGUGAUGAUGGUGCUGCAAUGAGCGGAGUCUCCAGGGUUGUUAAUAAAUAGUUAACCUGUCUAGAAUAUGUCUUCAUACAUAUGUCUAGCUACUUUCCGCUGCAAGAUGUUGUUGAUGUUAUAGUAUGUUAUGUCAUACUUUGAGUCUUAAGAGAAUGGUUGCAUAUGAUGUAUAACUUGAUUAAUGAUAUUAAUUAACUUUUAUGCAGUCUUUCAUAGACUAUUUUCAAUUGAGUAUUAAUGAAUAAAAAUGACGAGUUUUAUUAA